GCGGAAGUAGCUCAGUUGGCAGAGCAAUAGUAUAAAAUUUCCUUUAUCAAACAACUUAGCCGAAAGGAAUGAUAGAUGAAGGUUAUCAUGGAACUAUGGGUCGGAGGUUCAAUUCCUUCCUUCCGCA
rnacentral:tRNA from 1 species